UUUCUGAGGAACAAACUCGUCUAGUCUGUAUCCAUUGUAAGAGAUUUCACCUGAAAACUGUGGAAACAAAAAGGAAAAACAAAAGAAAAGGAGGACCAAGCAACAGUGUUAACCUGCAACAACAACAAGAAUAAACACAGUUAAACAACAUUGAUCAAGACUAGUGAACAGAUAAUAACUUUUUGAGUACUCACAGAGAUUACGCGCUUAGCAGUGUUCCAUAAUGUUGGAAGUGCUUUCCCUUCAACAAUCUCGCACUCGG